AUUGAACGCUGGCGGCAUGCCUUACACAUGCAAGUCGAACGGUAACGCGGGGCAACCUGGCGACGAGUGGCGAACGGGUGAGUAAUGUAUCGGAACGUGCCCAGUUGUGGGGGAUAACUGCUCGAAAGAGCAGCUAAUACCGCAUACGACCUGAGGGUGAAAGCGGGGGAUCGCAAGACCUCGCGCAAUUGGAGCGGCCGAUAUCAGAUUAGGUAGUUGGUGGGGUAAAGGCUCACCAAGCCAACGAUCUGUAGCUGGUCUGAGAGGACGACCAGCCACACUGGGACUGAGACACGGCCCAGACUCCUACGGGAGGCAGCAGUGGGGAAUUUUGGACAAUGGACGCAAGUCUGAUCCAGCCAUGCCGCGUGCGGGAAGAAGGCCUUCGGGUUGUAAACCGCUUUUGUCAGGGAAGAAACGCUCUGGGUUAAUACCUCGGGGUAAUGACGGUACCUGAAGAAUAAGCACCGGCUAACUACGUGCCAGCCGCCGCGGUAACAC
rnacentral:rRNA from 1 species